rnacentral:rRNA from 1 species
CGCCUCAUGAAAAACCUAUAAGAGGUCCAGCCUGCCCAGUGACUCUGUUCAACGGCCGCGGUAUCCUAACCGUGCGAAGGUAGCGUAAUCACUUGUUCUUUAAAUAAGGACUAGUAUGAAUGGCACCACGAAGGUUAUACUGUCUCCUUUUUCCAAUCAGUGAAACUAAUCUUCCCGUGAAGAAGCGGGAAUAAUCUUAUAAGACGAGAAGACCCUAUGGAGCUUUAAAUUAUCAACAAUUAUCUUUUUUUAAUUUUACUAAAACAGAAUCAAUUCUGAUAAUAUGGUUGUUAAUUUUCGGUUGGGGUGACCGCGGAGUAAAAUUUAUCCUCCACGAUGAACAGGACAUGCUCCUAAACAAAGAAUUACAAUUCAAAGCAUCAAAAAAUUGACAUUAUUGACCCAAUACUUUGAUCAACGAACCAAGUUACCCUAGGGAUAACAGCGCAAUCUAUCUUAAGAGUUCAUAUCGACAGAUAGGCUUACGACCUCGAUGUUGGAUCAGGGUAUCCCAGUGGUGCAGCCGCUACUAAAGGUUCGUUUGUUCAACGAWUAAAACCCU